rnacentral:lncRNA from 1 species
AUCGGCCCAAAUCAGUUUUUGUUUUUAAAAAAAAUACUAGCCCAAAGUUGGGGCCCAAUUAGCAAUUAAACUCUUCUCUCUCUUAUACCUCACGCCUCUCUCUCAUUUCUCCUCACAAACUCACGCACACACACAAAAAAAAACGCACACCUCUCUCACUCUCGUUCAAGAUCUGCCGCCUCUGUCUGCGGCCGGCGAAGGAUCCGGCGCAACCGCCGUCGUCCUGCUCCUCCCUUCCUCCAACUCUCUCUUCUCCUUCAUCCUGAACGCACACACCCAUCUCAUCCCUCUCUCGCUCUCGUUCUUGAUUCCGGCGUCGCGCCGCCGCGCUGCUCCGCCGGCAGUUGCCAGUGAAGCCGCCGCCGCCUGGAGUUGUUGAUUCUUCGCCUGAGGUCGACGGAUCUGGCCUUCAGCCGUUCGUCUCGCUCGGAGCUCCCGCCGCCGUUGGCUUGCCCGGAGUCGCCGCCGACUGCAGCUGCUUCGCCGGAGUCGCGGCCUGGAGUUGCUGCAGGCUCGUCCGGUGGUCAGUGGCUCGCUGGAGGAGCGCCGCCGCCGGCCGCUGCUGUUGGCAGCAAGAGCCCGGCAGCCGCCUCUCCCGGAUAGGUUCGUAAAUUUGAAUAAUUUUCAGAAAACUCAACUGUAAAGACUUGAUUUUGAAAUGAAAACCUGGUUUUCUGUAUUCCUAGUGAGAUACAAAUUCUAAUUCUGAUUUCUUGUGAAAGCUUUGAUGCGUAUACAAAUUCUGUAAACUGUAAACAAAAUCAUAUGUGAUCUCAUUCUUGUUGAAUUUCUGGAUAAUGCUAUGUAUGAAAAGGAAGAAAGUUGCGAGUAAUACCUUCACCGAAUCUUGUCAAAAGAAAACUCUGCGUUUAAGAAUUUGCUUGUUUUAGAGCUAAAGUGUUUGGAUGAAUUUAUAGAUGGGUCUCUGCGACAAUGAAAUCUAUGACUAUGGAAAAUUUUGUAGGAGUAGGUGAGUGAACGUCGGCUGAUUUUGAAAAUGUAGGAUUUGCUGCGGC